AAGACUAUACUUUCAGGGAUCAUUUCCAUAGUUCGCUACUAGAGGAGUUUCUCUGAACAUGUAAAACUACCCUUAGGCUUUACAAGAUGCCCAGGCUGAGCC
ensembl:snoRNA U3 Small nucleolar RNA U3